rnacentral:rRNA from 1 species
UACGCAGGUGGCGAGCGUUGCCCGGAAUCACUGGGCGUAAAGGGUGCGUAGGCGGCAGGGCAAGUCGCAGGUUAAAGCCCGGGGCUCAACCCCGGAAAGGCCUGCGAUACUGCCCUGCUUGAGGGCCGGAGAGGCUGGCGGAAUUCCCGGUGUAGGGGUGAAAUCCGUAGAUAUCGGGAGGAACACCGGUGGGGAAGCCGGCCAGCUGGACGGUUCCUGACGCUGAGGCACGAAAGCGUGGGGAGCAAACCGG